rnacentral:rRNA from 1 species
GUACACAAAAAUGCACAUGCUGUGAGCUCGAUGAGUAGGGCGGGACACGUGGUAUCCUGUCUGAAUAUGGGGGGACCAUCCUCCAAGGCUAAAUACUCCUGACUGACCGAUAGUGAACCAGUACCGUGAGGGAAAGGCGAAAAGAACCCCGGCGAGGGGAGUGAAAAAGAACCUGAAACCGUGUACGUACAAGCAGUGGGAGCACGCUUAGGCGUGUGACUGCGUACCUUUUGUAUAAUGGGUCAGCGACUUAUAUUCUGUAGCAAGGUUAACCGAAUAGGGGAGCCGAAGGGAAACCGAGUCUUAACUGGGCGUUAAGUUGCAGGGUAUAGACCCGAAACCCGGUGAUCUAGCCAUGGGCAGGUUGAAGGUUGGGUAACACUAACUGGAGGACCGAACCGACUAAUGUUGAAAAAUUAGCGGAUGACUUGUGGCUGGGGGUGAAAGGCCAAUCAAACCGGGAGAUAGCUGGUUCUCCCCGAAAGCUAUUUAGGUAGCGCCUCGUGAAUUCAUCUCCGGGGGUAGAGCACUGUUUCGGCAAGGGGGUCAUCCCGACUUACCAACCCGAUGCAAACUGCGAAUACCGGAGAAUGUUAUCACGGGAGACACACGGCGGGUGCUAACGUCCGUCGUGAAGAGGGAAACAACCCAGACCGCCAGCUAAGGUCCCAAAGUCAUGGUUAAGUGGGAAACGAUGUGGGAAGGCCCAGACAGCCAGGAUGUUGGCUUAGAAGCAGCCAUCAUUUAAAGAAAGCGUAA